rnacentral:rRNA from 1 species
GACGAACGCUGGCGGCGUGCUUAACACAUGCAAGUCGAACGAUGACGACCGAGCUUGCUCGGUCUGAUUAGUGGCGAACGGGUGAGUAACACGUGAGCAACCUGCCCUUCACUCUGGGAUAACCUCGGGAAAUCGGGGCUAAUACCGGAUAUGAGCUCCUGUCGCAUAGCGGGUGUUGGAAAGUUUUUCGGUGAAGGAUGGGCUCGCGGCCUAUCAGUUUGUUGGUGAGGUAGUGGCUCACCAAGGCGAUGACGGGUAGCCGGCCUGAGAGGGCGACCGGCCACACUGGGACUGAGACACGGCCCAGACUCCUACGGGAGGCAGCAGUGGGGAAUAUUGCACAAUGGGCGAAAGCCUGAUGCAGCGACGCCGCGUGAGGGAUGACGGCCUUCGGGUUGUAAACCUCUUUCAGCAGGGAAGAAGCGAAAGUGACGGUACCUGCAGAAGAAGCGCCGGCUAACUACGUG